GCGUGAUUGCAGAUUCCGUGAAUCAUCGAGUCUUUGAACGCACAUUGCGCCCCCUGGUAUUCCGGGGGGCAUGCCUGUCCGAGCGUCAUUGCUGCCCAUCAAGCACGGCUUGUGUGUUGGGUCGUCGUCCCCUCUCCGGGGGGGACGGGCCCCAAAGGCAGCGGCGGCACCGCGUCCGAUCCUCGAGCGUAUGGGGCUUUGUCACCCGCUCUGUAGGCCCGGCCGGCGCUUGCCGAACGCAAAUCAAUCUUUUCCAGGUUGACCUCGGAUCAGGUAGGGAUACCCGCUGAACUUAAGCAUAUCAAUAAGCGGAGG
rnacentral:rRNA from 1 species